AAAUAACAGAUAGUCAUACGAGUAGUAUAGCAUUAGCAGUCGAGCAGUGCACUCAAAAAUUUUAACGCAGCAUUUUAUUUUGUGAACUCUUGUUUUAUUUAUCAUUACGGGUUAAACAUCUAGAAAACGGUUUAGAAAUUUGAGACAAUCGAUUAGCCUGAGGAAAUCGAAGGCAAUAGAAAGAAGAUCUGUGGAUUCGAAACAAAAAUAAUGUGAUGAAGAGAGUUUUAGUGCAUCGGUAAAAAAAUUAUAACGCAAGAGCACGUAAUUGUAUCAGAAGAUUAAUCUAUAGAAUACAGAUAUUAAAUUUUUUAUCUAUUACUUAAAAUAACAACAAAAGCUUGUAUCAAAUAAAUUGGAAAAUUAGCCAUAAAAUCAUUCUAAUUGGGAAGAAAACCGUAGAAACUGUUGCUUAUAUCGUCGCCGAUGUGUUAAAAAAGAAAUCGUUACGCCCUUUAAAAUUUUGGAUCUCGGCGCGCAGUAGAGGACUCAAGAGGCAGGAGCACCUUGGCGACAAGUAGAAACUAAAAGUUUGGAGGCUGCAACCGAUUUGGAGAAUUUACUAUUUGAACCUGGAAUAGACGAAUUCAUGUUCACUUAAUAUGGACAACACCGUGGAACUUGUUUCGAAUUUAUAACAACGAAGCACGAAUAGACUACAAACAAUGACGAUUCUAAUCCGAUGGAAUGAGACGUAAACAGGCUCCCUCGACGUGUUAUUAUUUGUAUCGUAUCGAUAAGAACCGUAAAAUCAUAAAACAAUUUUACUUAUUACCCAACUAAUAUAUAAAGAAAUAUUAGAAUAUUGAAACAGAUUAUUUGGAUUAACAUAUAAUUUGAAAACGGAUAGUUUUCCUAUAAUUUCACACUGUUUCUUCUCAAAUCUAAUAAUAUUUUUUUAUAUAAAAGUGUGCUCCUUAAUUAUCUUGCGGCUACAACUUAAUUAUUACUGAUAAUUGUGUAAUUGUAAUUUGAUAUACACAAUAUCAUAUCCAUUCUCCUAUAUUUUUCAGGCAACAU
rnacentral:lncRNA from 13 species